UACAGAGGGGGCAAGCGUUGUUCGGAAUUACUGGGCGUAAAGGGCGCGUAGGCGGCCUGCUAAGUCGAACGUGAAAUCCCUGGGCUCAACCCAGGAACUGCGUCCGAUACUGGUUGGCUUGAAUCCGGGAGAGGGAUGUGGAAUUCCGAGUGUAGAGGUGAAAUUCGUAGAUAUUCGGAGGAACACCAGUGGCGAAGGCGGCUCACUGGUCCAUUACUGACGCUGAGGUGCGAAAGCGUGGGGAGCAAACAGG
rnacentral:rRNA from 1 species